AGGCUGAGAAGGCGGCCUUGAUCAAGAAGGGGGCCGUUGUUCUGCCCAAUCAGGUCGUGCGGCUCAAUAAGCCAGC
rnacentral:tRNA from 1 species